rnacentral:rRNA from 1 species
AAUACCAGUAAGUACUAUCCGGGAGACACACGGCGGGUGCUAACGUCCGUCGUGGAGAGGGAAACAACCCAGACCGCCAGCUAAGGUCCCAAAGUAUUGCUAAGUGGGAAACGAUGUGGGAAGGCUCAGACAGCUAGGAUGUUGGCUUAGAAGCAGCCAUCAUUUAAAGAAAGCGUAAUAGCUCACUAGUCGAGUCGGCCUGCGCGGAAGAUGUAACGGGGCUAAGCAAUACACCGAAGCUGCGGCAAUAUCUUUUAGAUAUUGGGUAGGGGAGCGUUCUGUAAGCCGUUGAAGGUGAAUCGUAAGGUUUGCUGGAGGUAUCAGAAGUGCGAAUGCUGACAUGAGUAACGACAAAGGGGGUGAAAAACCUCCUCGCCGGAAGACCAAGGGUUCCUGUCCAACGUUAAUCGGGGCAGGGUGAGUCGACCCCUAAGGUGAGGCCGAAAGGCGUAAUCGAUGGGAAACGGGUUAAUAUUCCCGUACUUCUGACUAUUGCGAUGGGGGGACGGAGAAGGCUAGGUGGGCCAGGCGACGGUUGUCCUGGUUCAAGUGCGUAGGCUUGAGAGUUAGGUAAAUCCGGCUCUCUCUAAGGCUGAGACACGACGUCGAGCUGCUACGGCAGUGAAGUCAUUGAUGCCAUGCUUCCAGGAAAAGCCUCUAAGCUUCAGAUAGUCAGGAAUCGUACCCCAAACCGACACAGGUGGUCGGGUAGAGAAUACCAAGGCGCUUGAGAGAACUCGGGUGAAGGAACUAGGCAAAAUGGUACCGUAACUUCGGGAGAAGGUACGCUCUUGAUGGUGAAGUCCCUCGCGGAUGGAGCUGACGAGAGUCGCAGAUACCAGGUGGCUGCAACUGUUUAUUAAAAACACAGCACUGUGCAAAAUCGCAAGAUGACGUAUACGGUGUGACGCCUGCCCGGUGCCGGAAGGUUAAUUGAUGGGGUUAGCGCAAGCGAAGCUCUUGAUCGAAGCCCCGGUAAACGGCGGCCGUAACUAUAACGGUCCUAAGGUAGCGAAAUUCCUUGUCGGGUAAGUUCCGACCUGCACGAAUGGCGUAAUGAUGGCCACGCUGUCUCCACCCGAGACUCAGUGAAAUUGAAAUCGCUGUGAAGAUGCAGUGUACCCGCGGCUAGACGGAAAGACCCCGUGAACCUUUACUACAGCUUGGCACUGAACAUUGAACCUACAUGUGUAGGAUAGGUGGGAGGCUAUGAAGACGUGACGCCAGUUGCGUUGGAGCCGUCCUUGAAAUACCACCCUUGUAUGUUUGAUGUUCUAACUUAGACCCAUUAUCUGGGUUGAGGACAGUGCCUGGUGGGUAGUUUGACUGGGGCGGUCUCCUCCCAAAGAGUAACGGAGGAGCACGAAGGUGGGCUAAUCACGGUUGGACAUCGUGAGGUUAGUGCAAUGGCAUAAGCCCGCUUAACUGCGAGAAUGACGGUUCGAGCAGGUGCGAAAGCAGGUCAUAGUGAUCCGGUGGUUCUGUAUGGAAGGGCCAUCGCUCAACGGAUAAAAGGUACUCCGGGGAUAACAGGCUGAUACCGCCCAAGAGUUCAUAUCGACGGCGGUGUUUGGCACCUCGAUGUCGGCUCAUCACAUCCUGGGGCUGAAGUCGGUCCCAAGGGUAUGGCUGUUCGCCAUUUAAAGUGGUACGCGAGCUGGGUUUAGAACGUCGUGAGACAGUUCGGUCCCUAUCUGCCGUGGGCGUUGGAAGAUUGAAGGGGGCUGCUCCUAGUACGAGAGGACCGGAGUGGACGAACCUCUGGUGUUCGGGUUGUGUCGCCAGACGCAUUGCCCGGUAGCUAAGUUCGGAAUUGAUAAGCGCUGAAAGCAUCUAAGCGCGAAGCGAGCCCUGAGAUGAGUCUUCCCUGA